rnacentral:rRNA from 1 species
GACGAACCGUGCGAACGUUAUUCGGAAUCACUGGGCUUAAAGCGCGUGUAGGCGGAUUGGCACGUCGGUUGUUGAAAGCCCCCGGCUCAACCGGGGAACAGGCACCGAUACGGCCAGUCUGGAGGGAGGUAGGGGGAGCCGGAACUUCCGGUGGAGCGGUGAAAUGCGUUGAGAUCGGAAGGAACGCCCGUGGCGAAAGCGGGCUCCUGGACCUCACCUGACGCUGAGACGCGAAAGCUAGGGGAGCAAACGGG